rnacentral:tRNA from 1 species
ACCCCCGUAGCUCAGUUGGAUAGAGCACCGGAUUUCUAAUCCGGUGGUCGCAGGUUCAAAUCCUGCCGGGGGUGCCA